rnacentral:lncRNA from 1 species
GCUUGAAGUAGAGCCCAUUUGAGCAGCCUUUUGAAGCAAUGCGGUGGCUGACAUUUGGGGCACCAUGUUAUUGUUUUGAACCGAUGAGCUGAAGAGAGAAGGGAUGUUGGAAGUCAUUUGAUCACUCAUUAAGUUGUUGGAGAAGAGGUUGGAGGCGUUGUUGGUCCCACCAUUGCCGCCGUUUUCAUUGUUGAAAUUAUCAGACAUGAGCAAACCCGAAGAUGUUAAAUUAUAAUCGCCAGCACAACCAUUGUUGCCACUGUUGGAAAGGAAGCUAAGGUUGAAGAGAUUGGCAGCCGAAGAAGCGUUGCUUGCGUUGUUGUUGUUGUUGUUGUUGUCGUCGUCGGGAGGAAACUGCAUUAAUCCUUGGAAUGGUUUGCUGUUUCCCAACAACCCAUGCUGGGAUUGAUGUUCUUGGUUGAAAAUC